UACGAAGGGGGCUAGCGUUGUUCGGAUUUACUGGGCGUAAAGCGCACGUAGGCGGCUUUCUAAGUCGGGGGUGAAAUCCUGGAGCUCAACUCCAGAACUGCCUUCGAUACUGGAGAGCUUGAGUCCGGGAGAGGUGAGUGGAACUGCGAGUGUAGAGGUGAAAUUCGUAGAUAUUCGCAAGAACACCAGUGGCGAAAGGGCGG
rnacentral:rRNA from 1 species